rnacentral:lncRNA from 1 species
UGCGAAUAUAAGAGGAAAGCUUUAUUGAUGAAGGUGGGUUUUUGUGACACCUUUGUGUGGUCGUAGAACACAAACAAAGAUAGCGAAGUUGCAGCUGUGGCGAACUUGUAAUCUAAACAAAACCCAAGUCUAAAUGGUGCCCUAAGGGCUGUAUAUAUGAGGGAACAAAGAGGCAAUUUCGUGACCCUUGGAGGAGGGGUCCGAAAACAGCCCUAAACUCGUAUUCCGCACACAUACAGACUCUAAAAAUAGCCUAUAUUAUGGCAUUUCGAAAUUACAUGGGCCUGGCCCAAAAAUAAGGUGGCGCAACACCUAUAAUAGCCUAUGGAUGAAAUUUAUAAAGUGGCGUCUUGAAUAUUUCGUCCAAAGCCUUCAUGCUCUCCUUAUGGUGGCUUUAGAGUGCGAAAAUCACCAGUGGAAGCUCCAUUGUUCUCUCCUGCGCAUGCACCUUCUUCUCCAUGCUUGAUCCCGCUCCAACGGAUAUCCUUCUUGUCCAUGCUAGGUCCUUCAUUGAUGAGCACAACAAAAGUAUCUAACUUAGGAAACAUCAUAUGUUCAUGAACAUUAGAAGUAUUUCCAAGAAAUGAAAGUACCUGGUAAUUCAAUUGGCGUGCACGAGCUCUAGUAACUGGUCUAGUAUGUAUAGCAGCUGGGGCUGUGGGUGUAACAAUGGUGUUGAUGUCCUCAUCACAUCAUGUACACAUGAGUCUUGUAUUCAGACUUUUUGCGCACCUCACAAUCCUAUAAAUGUGUAUACAUAAAUAGUACCACCUAGUAUUGAUAUUAGAAGUUUAUCUAGUCUCUAUGUGGUAUGUCCUACUCAUGAGAAAUUCAAAUUUUAAAUGGUCCGUUAAUUAUCUCUUGUUGGUUUUCAUUUGCCACUUGUUAAUAAAUGUUGGGUUAUCACAUUAUGGGGGAGUAAUAUGCUAGGUGCACAUUACAAGCCUAGAAAAUGUGUAUAUUUGAGGUAUUGCCCCUUAGUGUUGAUAUUGUAAAUUAUCUUAUUCCUAGGUGGCAUGUUAGCUCUACAAGUGUCAUUUGCUUGCGUUUUAGGAGUAAAGAUGAUGUGGGAUAUUUUUGUAAUCUACCAAAGGGAAUUGUUUCCAAAUACUUCUUGUCCUUUGACAAGUGGUAUUCCCUUCAUGUUGUAGAAAUUUCUAAUCAUCUUUACAUUUGAUUUUAUGUAUCGUUUGUCUUGCUAGCCUCUUGUGGAUUGGUUUGAACAUGUCUAGUGCUUCUACAGAUUUAGAGAAAGUUAUGACACCAUCUUGUGCAUUUUGUAUUCAAAUGCAAAUUCUAUAUAAUGCACAAAUCUCGGGGGAGCUAUCCUAUUUUCUUUAGAACACUCUCUUUAUGCGUUUAUCAUGAAGUCUUUUGAUCCCCAUCAAGUGUGUGGUGAUGGGACACAAGUCUUGCUCUUUAUGAUGCUUUGUGCCAUCAUGAAAUUUUUCGAGGGUUUGGUUUGUUGGGAACCUAGCUCUUUUUUGGAAACUAGAUACCUCAUGUUUGUUUUCCUUCAAUUGGUAUCUUGUUUCCUUUUGUCUGGCAUGUGGCUAUGGAUAUCACAUUCCUUGAUGUAUCUUUUGAUUGAUAUCCUUCAAGUGAUAGUUUUUCGUUUGGUAUCUUAUUAUCACUUGAUACCUUGUCUUUUGGUGUCUUAUCAAUGAUGUGUUGAUUUUAUUCUUGAAUGCCUUGAGCAUGCAUAUUUACUAUAUGCAGUUUCUCGUCAUGCUCUCCUUCUUGGAUCCAAUAUAUAGGGGAAACUUCACCUUGUCAUAAAUUUGCUAAAUUGUGCAUGAAAUUCAAAUUCAUACCUAUAUGCGCAUAUUUAUGUGGAGUUUGUCCUAUGUAUUGUUGGUUUUCUAACUAUUUGGUCCCAAUUAGUUUGGGCACCAUUUUGUUUGCUUUGUUGUUCUAGGAACAAUUGGAGAUGCAUUGGAUGCUUGGCUCAUCUACAAGGAAGGUGGUGACACCAUGUGCUUAUUGGAGCCAAGUUAGGAUGAUCAACGAACAAAUAUCUACUACAUCAAUCCAACGAUGUCUCGGUAACAAGUAUCUACGUCAUGCAUACAUUUCUUUGCAAAGGACCGAACCUGUCUUUUCUUGGCUGAGCGGUACUACCGUGGAUAGCCAAGGUACUACCGUUGGAGAGGUGUUACUGUUGCACUCGUGCAAUAGCAGCACCGGCACGGUACUACCGCAUCUAGCACGACAAUAUUUUUCUUCUGCCGCUGGACGAACGGUACUACCGCCCAGCGAGUGGUAGUAAAUUUUUACAUCCGCUAGCCAGACGGUACUACCGUGAUGACAUGCGGUACUACCGUGCCGUCGGGACCGCAAGGGGUUAUAGACAGGUAGGGGGGAAGGAACUUCCCCCAUACCCAUUCAUCCCCUUCUCUCGUGGCUCUCUCUCCUCCGAGUAGGUUGCGUCAUGGCAUGAAUUUCUUGAUUCGUUCUUGUGGUACUUGUUUCCUUUCUCAAAGCAUACCAGCGAUGAUGUCUCAUUGCUAGUUGUGAUGUCUUUGAUGUUCGUGAGUUGGAAAUUCAUUUAUGUACGAUAAGAAAAUAUUAGGCCAUGUACUAUGCUUUCAAGCAAAGAUCUUAUUCGUAUAUUUAUGACUUCCUUUUGGAUAUCUUGUUCGUUUCUUCUAGGAACAUUUUCAUGUGUACAUCGUUCUUUGUGGAUAUAUAUCAUCAUGAUUGUAUUUUACCUAGAAUAUUUUACACAUGUGAGAAGUUACAUCUGUAAUUGAUAUUCUCUUUUCUUUUACGUCCACCGUUGCAUUUCCUUUUUCAGUUUUUGGUGGCUUCGUGAAAGGAUUUGUCUUGAGGGCGGAUUUUAUAUCCUUGCAUCUUGAUGCACUCUUUGGUGGUGAAGAAUAUUUUUCCCGAUGCUUGUCUUGACGAGGGUUUUGCCAUUUUGAUUGGUAUCCCUCCUCUUGACAAGGUUAUUAUUUCCUAUCUUCAACAUGGGUUGACAUAAGCGUUGGUUCUUAAUUUGGUUAUUAGUAAGCUUGUGAACCCAUUUUCUAGCAGUGUGUGUGUGUGGGAAGGAUAUGUCUUGCACUUUGUUUCUCAUUUCAUCAAGACUAUGUUGAUGAGUAAUGCUCAUCCUUAUCUUAGUCUUCUCAAGUGCUUUGCCAUGACUCACACAUCAUUUUGGUUGAACCUAUUCUUAAGUUGCCUCUUUUACAUGUUGCUCAACCAUAUGUUUUGUGCAAGUGAUAUUCUUAUUGUCUCAUCUAUUUUCUUGCUCUUGUUGUGUGUUUUUAUUAAUAUUGGGGGACCAACGAUUCUAUUUUGUGCACUUAUAUAAAUUACAUUUUUUUCUCUUAUUAGUGCACAAAUCACGGGGAGCUUCUCUAGUUUUGAUAAAACACUCCUUUGCCCAUAUCAUAAUAUCUUUUAUUCAUGUGGUUCGAAGGACCAUGUGAUUGUUUGUUCCAUUUGGUACUUUUUGCUUGCUUGCUUCUCUCUUUUAAAUGUCUUCAUGGCAUACGAUCCUUUUUUGCAAUCUUGGGUCCUCGAUAUAGUUCAUUUUCCUCCAAUUACUUAUCAUUGUAUAUGUGUAUUUUUUGCACUUAUUUGUUGAGAAGUACACACUUUUUGGAGGACCACCUACUAUAUUGGCUUUCUAAACUUCCUAUCCAUUUUGGCAGUCGAUGCCAAUGGGGGAGAAGUUUAGAGAGUUUAAUUUGGUGAUGCUUAGAGGGUUUUGCUUUUAUUACUUAAGCAUUUGCAUCUUGUACACAUGCAUUAUUGCUUUGUCUGUGUGCGCUUGGUUAUGCUUAUUUCCUUAUAUAAACUCUCUUAUAGUGAUUGUCAUCAAUUACCAAAAUGGGGGAGAUUGUUAGAGCAUAUUUACCCAUAUGUGCUUUUCGUAAUUGUUGACAAUCCCUAUCGACUAAUGUCUGCCUUAACUUAUAUUUGAAGGAUUUGUCCAUAGGCACUUCUUGAAGUCCAUCUGUUGGUUUCAAGGAGUUUAUAUAAUGACCAAGGUAAUAUUCAAGGUAUUAUCCAAAGAAUGGUCAUAAAGACACAAGGUUUAUCAAGACUAAGACAAAGAGUAAAUCAAGAUGAUCAACACGCAAAGUGUACAAGAUGUACCGAGAGGGAUCAAGUGAUCCCAUGGUAUGGUAAGCAUUGUCCAUAACGCUUUUGUGUACUAACCCAUGGUCUUCGUGAGAGUUCUAUGUGGGGUUAGGUGUGUUUCCAUGGGUUUGCGUCAAGAAGAAGAUCUCAUUCAACCUAUGAAGGAUGACAUGAAGUGGUGAUCGUCAUCAAGAUUGCGGUGUGCAAGUUCAAGUGGAGCAUCACGAAGAUAUCAUGCUUGAAGCUUGUCGUCCAUUGUGGUGGCAAUGGACUUGUGAAGAUGUGCUGAAGAGUGGCUCACCCAUAGUGAGUAUGGGGGAGCAAUCAACUGGUCUUCACCAAACCAACGCAAUCAAGAAAGGUGGUCCAUCUUGAGGAAGCCAAGAUCAUCCUCAUCUAGCUCAAGAGGACUAGGUGCAAGGUAUAGGUUUGCCAUUGAUAGUUUUUCUAUUUUAGGAUAGAUUGCCGUACUGUCAAGGGGGCUCUCAAGUGAGUAGCUUGAUCGUAUCGUUCAUUGAGAGCUCAAACCAUUUGCAUCCUUGCAUCGUAUUUCAUGGUUCUUGUUUUGUGUUUCUCUUUGUGAGUUUUAGAGCAUAUGGUCAUCUUCAUGACAAGCUCGAGUUCAACGAAAAUGGAGUCCAUAUGCAUAUUCCAUGAUGUUUUCGAUGUUGGAAGUUUUUGCCGGUACUUCACUCAUACAUGUCUCACAUCUUUACAUCAUUGGCAUUUUCAUAAGUGCAUUUUCAUAUCCUGUUUGGAUAGCUCUUGUCGUCCUGAAUCUAACAAGCUUGAAUUUUCUCGAUUCAGAGCUCGUAUGCGAAAAGUUAUGGCAGUUUCAGUGGCCAGCGAUAGUACCACUCUAGGAGAGGUAGUAGUUUUUACUACCGCUCUCUCGCGGUAGUAAUGUCCGGUACUACCGGGUCGGACUUUUGCACAGCCGCAACCUCAGCGGAGGUAGGCACGGAAGUAACUUUUUUUACUUCCGUGGCAGUUGGAUCUACCGUGCGGUAGUACCUCUCCUAGCAUCGGUUGUACUGCUUUGCUCGGGCUGAGAGUGGGGGUAAUGGGUGGAUCCUUUCCCCCACUAUAUAAAGGGGGUCUUCUUCCCCAAUGGUCCUAUCAGUUGAGCUCGUGUUCUUCCUCCAUUGUUGACCUUCUUCGAGCUUGCUAACUGUCUAUCCCUCCAAUGAUUCUUGCUCUUUUUUGAGGGAAAAGAGAGAGGAGAUCUAGAUCCACAUUUCCACCAAUCACUUUCUCCUCUAAGUGAGGGGAACCCCUUGGAUCUACUUCUUGGAGUUCUUGGUGUUCUUCUUUGUUCUUCCCCUCAUUUUCCACCAUAGCAUUAGUUGUUGUGGUGGGAUUUGGGAGUGAAGGACUUGGGCACUCCGUGUGCCCUUGCCAUUGCAUUUGGUGCAUAGGUUUGAGUUCCCCACUUUGAUACGUGGAAGUGAAGUUUGAGAAGCUUAUUACCCUUUGGUACUUGGUACGCUAGAGAUUGUUGUUUGUGGAUGCUUUGGCGUCCUAGAAGUUUGGCGGUGCCUCGGUGCUCAAUCAUUGUGGUGUAAAGCUCCGGGCAAGCGUCGGGGUCUCCACUUAAGUUGUGGAGAUCCCCCCGAGCAUUUGUGGUCACCUAGAAGCCAUAUACCUUUGUGGUGAAGCUUCGUGGUGUUGUUGGAGCCUCCAAUUAAGUUGUGGAGAUUGCCCUAACCUUGUUUGUACGGGUUCGGUGACAGCCCUCAGGGGUCCCUUAGUGGAAUCACGGCAUCUUGCAUUGCGUGAGGGCGUGAGGAGAUUACCGUGGCCUUAGUAGCAUCUUGGGGAGCAUUGUGCCUUUACACCGCUCCAAACAAAGAUUAGCAUCCGCAAGGGUGUGAACUUCGGGAUACAUCGCCGUCUCCGCGUGCCUCGGUUAUCUAUUACCUGAACCCUUUACUUAUGCACUUUACUUUGUGAGAGCCAUAUUGUUUGUUGUUAUAUAUCUUCCUAUCACUUAGUUGUUUAUCUUGCUUAGCAUAAGUUGUUGGUGCACAUAGGUGAGCCUAGCUGCUUUUGGUUUUGUGCUUGACAAAUUAAACGUUAGUUUUAUUCCGCAUUUGUUCAAGCCUAAACCGCAAUUAUUUUAAAGCGCCUAUUCACCCCCUCUAGGCGACAUCCACGUCCUUUCACAUCAUUUAUAGUGGCUGGUGUUGAAUGCAUGUGGGUUCUAACAUGAUUAUGAUGAAAUUUGUCUUUUAUUAUGUUAGAGCAUUUCAAUUUGAUGCAUAUUUUUUUAUAUCACACAUACUUGCUCAUCUAUGGCAUGAUUGGGAACUUGGGGUUAUGGAGCUAAAACACGGGCACAUGUUUUGUCCCACUCCCAAAUAGGUUUUAACUGCAACACAUUAAGUAGGUGACCAUAGAAACUUUCGGCUUGUAAGACGACUAACUGCAAAUUCAUGACAUUUUAUGUGAAUUUGCAUUGAAAUAUCAAUUACAAGUUGAAUGAGAAAAACAAUUUCAUGUUAUGACCCUUCAAAAUUUGUAAGAAAAUGAACUUCGAAGAACAUUAAAUAAGACAUGUGUUUUAAAAUGUACGCUUGAAAAUGUUUUGAAAUAGAUAUAUUUUUAAUAGUCAGUCAAUGAAAUUACGUUUUGAAACUACCAUUCCUACUUAAAAGUGCUUAAGCAAUCCAAUUCGUACAAGUAUUUAUGCAAAUCGAACUACCCCCCAUCACUGUUUAGAAGACGUGUUUGGAAAUUCUUUGAAACCUAGGUGGUUAUUGAUUGAUUGUGAGAUGGGCUAAAAAAUAACAUUCACACUACACAUGCAUACAGAAGUAGUACAACAUAGUACUAAUUAGCUGCUAGGAGUAAAUGCAAUACCUCUUAAACCUUGUCUAUUGUGAAAAUGCAUGUAAAUUUAAUCGUGCCUUCUAAAAUGUGAGUGAGGGAGUAUAAAGUUCAUCUGUGAUGUUUACUGUUUUAUUAUAUUGAUCCCACAGUGUGUGUCAAGCAUUAAGGAGGCUGCAUGCAUUUUCAAUGCACUCAUAGAAUAUUAAUUCACCAACAACAUGUAUUUGCACCAUUUAAUAGGUGGAGUUUCACCACACAAUGUUAUGUUCUCUUUCCCAACUAGGGCAGGGUAGUGAAGCAGUAAAAAUCGUUAAAGUGCAAGUGUAGUGUCUCAGCUGCUCCCUCUUCUGUUCUAGGCCAGCUAUGGCUAUGUACAGUAGGUUUCGACGGGCUACAUGUAUGAAUGAAUCAAGCUUCAAUCUAUUGUUGCCUUGGAUCAUCAAAUAUAGCAAACUAGUAUUUCCUCACCGUACCCAUGGCCUGUUUGGAGCUGCUCUGCUCCAACAAAAUUAAUUUUGCUUCACCAAAUUCACUUUGGAGCAGCAUCGUAUAGAAGUUGCAACUCUUCAAAAAAGAAUGUUCGGCUUCCGUCUAUCCCAGCUUCAGUAAUUGAAAAUUUGAUGGAAAGGAUCUACUUAAUUGGAUGAAAGGAGAGAAACAAAAGGAUAUACACUUAUUGAUGGAAGUGGUGGGUAAUUUCCUUUCAACUCCAUCUUCUAUAAUUUUUUGAAGCACCUCCUAAUGAGUUUCAUAAAAAUCUUGUAUUUGUACCUUAUAUUCUAGUUUUUUACGGAGCGACAUAACGUGGAGUUACCUUGUUUGGGUUGCAUUUUCUAGAGCGAAACUGAAUUUCAAGGAACAGAGCAGUUCACACAGGCCCUCGGUGCAGGUGGAUACGCACCAUGCACAACGUGCCAAAGUUUCCUAAGCACAAGUACAAAAGAGAAUGGCCAAGGGAAGACCCCAAAGUUUCCCAAGAACAAGUUACAAAAGAGAAUGUCCAAUGGAAGACGAUGGAAAUGAUGAAUGAGCGGGGAUGAUCUAUGAGCCGGGCAAGUACUCCCUCCAUCUCAGUUUAUAAGUCCCGCACAUGUACCUAGGUCGUAAAUUUAAUCAACUUAAUGAGAGACAUAUAUAACAAAAAGUAUAUCAUUAGAAACUUUAGGUGUUCUAUUUUUUAAUUAUAUAAUUUUUAUGUUAAAAAUAUUAUAUAUAUAAAUCAAAUUGACGAUUUAGGUAUACGUGCAUGCCUUCUAAAGUGUGACGGAGCGAGUAUUAUAAUUGAUGACCUAUUCAAUGCAUGUGGCUUUGUUGAAUGCGACUCACAUGCGGGACAUAUGAUUACGACGGCAUAGCGAAUACAUAAACUAUACCACACUGAUAUGAUACCGACAAGUCGAUAUACAAGCUUGUUGUAUAAUAAGUGCAUGUGGAGGCCAACAUAGUUGAUUUCCUCCUUGCGUGGCACUAUGCCCACUCGUGAUUUAUACUCCCUCCGUUCUUAAAUAUAAGUCUUUUAAGCGAUUUCACUAGAUGUCUACAUACAGAGCAAAAUGAUUGAAUGUAUACUCUAAAGUAUGUCUAUAUACAUCCGUAUGUAGUCCAUUAGUGAAAUCUCUACAAAGACUUAUAUUUAGAAACGGAGGGAGUAGUAUUUUAUAGAGAAAACUCCAUUUUUCCUCCCUCUUCUUUGGUCUGUCCACUUUUCGUUCCUUAACAUUAAAAUCGGACAAAUUGCACCACAAACUCUCAAAACCGGUCAUCUUUCGUCCCUGCGAGGAAAUCCGUGCAAAGUCAACCCAAUUUUGACCAUGUCAUGAACAUUACAUCGAUGAAUAGUAAAAUAAAAAAAUAGCAAAAAAUCUAAAAAGUCUGGAAUUUUAUGACAUCAAAGAUAGUCAGGUAUGCAAGGUUUGUGUAAAAUUUUGUCAUGUUUGUACGUUUGAUGAGCUCACGGCAAAAAAGCAAAAUUAAAUAUGCUCUGUGAUGAACCGUGAAUUCAAAAAAAUUGUUAAAAAUCAAAAAAUUCUGUUUUUUGGCAUCAAAGAUGCUCCGGUAUGCAAGGUGCGUGCAAAUUUUCAUGGUCAAAUGACACCAGAGGGUUUGGAAAUCACCCGAAGUGGCACGCACACGUAAACUCUUUUGUUCUUUUGCCACAAGCUCCUCACAUGUCAUUUGACCACGAAAAUUCGCAUGCACCUUACGUAUCCGAGCAUCUUCGAUGGCAAAACAUUUCAGAUUUUUUUGGAUUGUUUUUGCAAUUUUUUUAUAAAUUUACUGUUCAUCGAAGAACAUAUUUACUUGUUUUUUGCUGCGAACGCCCAAACAUGACAGGAGUUUGUGGACCUGACUAUCUUCGAUGUCAUAAAGUUUCAUUUUUUUCACUAUUUCUUUUUUGAAUUUAUAGUCAUCGGUGUAUUGUUCAUGCCGUGGUCAAAACCAGGUUGACUUUGCAGCAAACCCCAUAGGGAUGAAAGUGACCUGUUUCCAGAGUUCGUGGUGCAGUCUGUCCGGUUUUAGAGUUGAGGGACCAAAAGUGGCCAGACCAUAGAAUUGAGGGACGAAAAAUCUACUUUUCUCUAUUUUAUAUACUUAUAUAAGAACCUAAAGUUUCAUCUUUCACUCUGUUUUCUUUCCAUCAUCCCAUCGUCCAAUCUUCCCUGGUUUCACCCUUAACCGAUUUUUCCCGUUUCUCCUCCACUUUUGGUUUUCAUCCAAAUAAUAUUUGAUAAUCCAAUAAACCAAAUCAAUCUAUGGUAUAUCAAUAAAUUCACAGUUCGUAAAUAAAUUGUUCGUUAUAGUAAAAACCGAUACUUGUUAAGACAUCUUUGAUAACCCAAUAAUAAAUAGCAAUAAAUUCACGACACAAAAGAUAUUUGGUAUUCAAUAAAAUCGAUUAAUCAUGGACACAUACUGAUUUUAUAAGUUUAGGAAAUAGAUGGAAAAUCUAUACUUCAUAAUCCACUAGUACAUAUGAUCGUGUGUUGCAACGAGAAAGAAAAUUAGUGUGCCCAUUAAAAUGUUCAUUAGUGCUAUGAAAACAUGCGAACAAUGAAACUCGGCGGUGACACGUAGGCGGACUCCGAGAUGUAGACUUACUUUUGUCAUAAAAAAUCAAAAAUCAAAUUAAUAAUCCAGUAGUUAGACUAUGGAAGAAUAAAUUUUAAAGACAAAUUUUGCAAGGUAAGCGGAUAGCGAGGUCUAUGCUUGUUUCCUCGUAAAUAUAAUUUUGACACACCGUUUGGACUCCGAAAGAAUUUAUUGAGUCAUGAUAUGUCUCCAACGUAUCUAUAUUUUCUGAUUGUUCCAUGCUAUAAUAUUAUUAUUUUAGGAUUAUUUUUAGGCAUUUACUUGCUGUUUUGUAUUUUUUGUGGUCACUAACCUAUUAACCCAGUGCCAAGUGUCAGUUGUUGUUUUCUACAUGUUUUUGGCUUUUCAGGUUUACAGUACCAAAUGAAGUCCAAAUACCCGAAAUUUUUUGAUGAUUUUUUCUAGACCGAAAGAAGAACUGCAAGUGUUGGGAGAAGACCAGAGGCCGCAUGAGGGGCCUUCAAGCCAACAAGGCACGCCCAGGGAGGGGGAGGGGGUGGCCGCACUUUGAUGGCUUGUGGGCACCCGCCUCGGCCCCAACGCCCCUCUCUCUCUAUUAAUUCAAAUAUAUCCCAAAAACCGUAAGGAGCCUUCUGAAACACUUUUUUCGCCGACGCAAGUCUCCACUCCACCAUGUGCCUAUUUGCAGCCAUGUUCCAGUGCCCUUCCAGAGGGGGAUCGAUCAUGGAGGGCAUCUACAUCAACCUUGCUGCUCCCAUGGUGAUGUGUGAGUAGUUCACUCAUAACCCACAAGUAUAGGGGACCACAACAUUCUUCAUAGGUAGUAUUACACACUGAUUUAUUGAUUCGACAGAAGGGGAGCCAAAUAAUAUUUAUUGGUCUUAGCAGCUGAGUUGUCAAUUCAACCACACUUGGGAUAUCUCUGUGCAUCAAAGCUUUUAGUAGCACAACAAAAUAGUAGUAGUAAUGGUAACAACAAUAAAAAUAGUAACUAAGCAAGAUUCAGUAUAUGAAAAGCAUAGGCACGUGCACCAGUGAUGGAUAAUGAUUUAGAUGACAUCAAUCAGGUAAGAGUUACACACUAGAGUGACACAGAACUAGCUCCAAUUCAUCAAUGUAAUGUACGCAUGUAUUUCGUAUAUAGUCAUACGUGCUUUUGGUAAGAACUUGCAUGACAUAUUUUGUCCUACCCUCCCGUGGCAGCGGGAAUCAUAAGGAAACGAAGGGACAUCAAGGCCCCCUUUUAAUAGAGAACUGGAGCAAAGCAUGCAUUAAUACACGGUGAAUACAUGAACUCCUCAAACAAUUGCAAUCAACGGAAAAAUCCCAAUUAUUGUCACAUGGGGGUAUGCAAACCAUAACACGUAAUAGGUGCAUACCACUUGCAAGAUUGGAUCUAAACACUUUCAUAUUCAGGAAAAAUAAUAGGUUCAGAUCUAAAAUCAUGGCACUCGGCCCCUACUCGGCCCCUAGUGACAAGCAUUAAGCAUAGCAAAGUCAUAGCAAUAUCAUGAAUCACCCUCCGUAAUCCACCUUUGGUUAACUACACUACAGGGUUAACAUCGGGAGUACAAGGUCUCACCCUUGGUACUCGAUAGUACCUCCGCAGAAUCGUACCACUAAGGGGGUGUGAAGUAGAACAUACUGGAUAACAUGGAUCAAGCCCUAUCAAAAUAACUCGAUUACAUCCAAUCCCAUCACCGUCCAGGAAGCCUACAAUGGAAUUACUCACCCCCGAUGGUGAGUAUCAUGUAAUUAUUGAUGGGUGAUGACGACAACGACGAAUCCCCCUCCCCGGAGCCCCGAACGGACUCCAGAUCAGCCCUCCUCGGAAGAAUAAGAGGUGGUGGUGGCUCUGUCCCAUAAAACGCAAUGAAAACUGUUCUUUGAUUUUUUUCUCCGUAAUUGUGAAUUUAUAGGAUUGGAAUUAGGGUCGGAGGAUCCACGAGGUGGCCCCAAGCCAUUAGGGCGGACCCAUGGGGUGGGUGCGCCUUGUUGGCUUGUGACCAAUAGGUGCCCCCUCUAGUGGGUCUUCGCUCCAUAAAUCUUCAUAUUUUCCAGAAAAAUCCACAAAAAGUUUCGUCCAAUUUCGAGAACUUUUGUUUCUACACAAAAAUAUCACCAUGGCAGUUGUGCUAAAAAUAACGCCAGUCCUGGGUUAGUUUCAUUCAAAUUAUGCAAAUUAGAGCGCAAAACAAGAGCAAAAGUGUUUGAAAAAGUAGAUAUGUUUGACACGUAUCAACUCCCCCCAAUCUUAACGCAUUGCUUGUACUCAAGCAAUUAAGUUGAUAAACUUAAAUGAUAAAGAAAACUUUUAGAAACUCUUUUGUUCUCGUUGCUAUAUAUAUGCUUAGCUAGUGUUGAGGUUUUCAACAUAAAUAAUAAAUAACCAUAUCCAUGAUAACAAUUAGAUAUCAUAUUCAUUCAUGACAAUCUCACAUGCCAAAUAUUUUUCAAAACAAUCAUGAUAUAAUAUGAAUAUAUGGUAUCUUGCUAGCCCUUUCUGAGACCGCAAAACAUAAACGCAGAGCAACUAUGAGAUCCAAGCAAUGACUAAACAUUGUAAUUCAGAGUAGAAAAGAUCCAGUUAUGCUCACAUCCAGUAUUAACUAUACUCAGUGCAUAAGAAUGACAAUAGUGCUCUCAGAUCUGGUGCUUUUAGUAAGAGGGUGAUGACUCAAAUAAAAGAAAGCAACAUGAAAGUAAAUAGAAAGGCCCUUCGUAGAGGGAAUCAUUGAUUUGUAGAGGUGCUAGUGCUCAAGGUUUAAAACAGAGUUGAAAUUGUAAUUUUGGGUGGUGUGCUUUUCCUGUCAACGUCAUGAUAGAAUUUUUGAUAUCUUCCAUGCUAAACACGUUAUUGGUGGUCCCAAGCAAAAAUAUAAACUUUACACCUAUCCACCAUCCAUACACAAGCCAUUGCUGACUGAAUGCACGGGUGCCUUCAAACAUAUCAACUGCCCGAGGAGUUUUGUUCAAUUUAUUUUUGGUUAUGCAUGACUGGGCAUCCUUUUUACUAGCCUCUCUCGUGCAAUGACACACAAGUAAACACCCAUCUCGAGAAUAACCCGCUUAGCAUGGAACAUACCGACUGGCCCAUCACUCCAUGAGAGGUACGAGCACACAAAACAUAUGUUUAUUUGAAUGUUUAGAGGUGGCACAUGCAAAAUUACUUGGAAUGAUAGGUUAAUACCGCAUAUAGGUAGGUAUGGUGGACUCAUUUGGCAUAACUUAGGUUUAGGAGUUUGGAUGCACAAGCAGUAUUCCCGCUUAGUACAUGUGAAGGUUGGCAAUAGAUUGAUAAGCAACCAGCUAGAGAGCGAAACCGUCAUAAUAAUGCAUUGAGAAUAAUUAACAUUGAACAUUAGCAUGAGUAGGAUAUGGACACUAUGAAUUUAAAUAUCAUGAAAGCUGUUGUCUGGGUACGACGAUCUAUGGGACCAACGAUGCCCCUUUUGCAGGUUCACGGUGGGGUAACGCAAGCACAAAGAGCAUCAUCAACCUCGUAAGUGCUCGGGGUUUAGACAGGUUCGGGCUGCUCGGGAGUAUAAAACCCCACGUCUUGUAUUUUGUGGAUUAUAUUGGUCCAAUGUAACGACCUAGAUGCGACAAUUUCCUUAUUUGGGGGCAAGGCCUCAAUAGGGAAAAAGGCGCAUCUAAGCGAUUCGCAAGUACAUGAAUCAUUCCAUUACAUACAAGAAGGGACGAGUAUAUGAGUUGACUUACACUCGCCACAAGUGAAGUUACAAAUCCACUCAACAAUUUAUUCAAGCAUCCAUCAGGCAGGGUCCGACUAUAGACAAGAUAAACAGCAAAAUAGCAAUGAGUCUGCCUCGCUAGGCCCAAGAGACGACCAAGGUCCUCUAAUCAUUUGGGUACGUCACGAUUACAUACGCCCACUGUCCUCGUCGAACUCCCACUACAACUGCAUAUCAUCGAAAGCAUCUGUGGUGGUGUAGUAAUCUGUGAGCCACGGGGACUCAGCAAUCUUAUGACCAUGAUAGCGAGUUUAACCAAGUGAGUAGGCGAGGAUGGGGUAUUGUUUAAGUUUGCAGGGGCACUAAGUAUUUAUGUUGUCUAACUUACGAUAACAUGAAGUAAUAUGAGUGAUCUACGCAUGAUGGUCGUGAACUAGUAAUAAUCAUUAAGUGAUCCUGAACACCUACUUACGUUAGUCAUAAACCCACUGUGUUUUCGAUCGGAGAAGGAUCUACGAAGGAAACAAUCACGGUUACACACACAGUAGGUAUGUUAAACAAAGUUUCCAAGUUGGCACAUAACCACGAGCAUGACUUUCUGUAAGAUUUAAUCCUAUAGGGUGCUCCAACUAAUCCAUCACAAGUUACCACAAGCUGCAUAGAAAGCCUCGACCAUGAAUCUCGUGAUCUCCUCGGAUUCCUUAGUGGAAAACCUCAAUUCUCAAAUAGCCCAAAGCAUCACCAGAAUCCCGAUGCACAAGAUAUAUCAUUAAGGUAAAAACAAGUCCAACAAGACCACCCGACGUGGCGAUGACCCCGAUAAGAGCCGCGUAUCUCAGUCUCAAGACACGACAAAUAAGCUAAGCAUACGGUGGCCUGACAGAAAUCCCCCGAGUUGUCUCGAGGUGGCCCCGCACGGUGCUCUGUUUUGGACCAACACUCAUGAGGAGCACUGGCCGAGGGGUUGAUUAAAUUAUCCUCGGGGUAGUUAUUCUCUAUGCUUUUUAUUUAUUAAGUUAUUAGCAAAUGUAGUACCAAAGUUGGGUCUUGCUAGACAAGUCUUAAGACAAAACAAUUUAUCAAGGGGGUCCCCAUAACAACCCCAAGUGUGUUAGGAGCGCUCAAUUAUGGAAUAUAACACCGGUUACCAAAACUAAGGCGCAAAAAGCGAAACAAAACACCCAGCAAAAGGACAAGCCUUCCGCCUUUUACCAACUAUAUAGGUGCAUUAAUUAAAUAGCAUUAAAUAACAUGAUAAUCAAAAUGCCCAUGUUAUCACAUGGACCAAUGUGCACGUGCAACUAACAAUGCUAUAAGAUGGUUGAGCAAGCGCUAAAUUAGCCAUUCAAUGUUUUGCUAGGAGGUGAAGGGUUAGAGGUUUUCAAGGCAAUGUUUGAAGGCUUAAUAUUCAGGUGGCAGGCAGCGGUAAUUAACGAUGGAAAUGAUUCAUCUAGGCAUAACAAAAUUAGAAACGAUAUCAUGGUCACAAUCAUCUUGCCUGUUGGAUCUUCUGACUGACACUGCUCUUGAUCUUCCAGAACGUACUCAACGGAAUCCUCACACUCGUUAUCAGCACCCAAUGCUACCCAAAAUAAAUAUACAUCCAAUGAACACACAACAAGUAACAAUGCUUGAAACAACAUGAUGCAUGAGUGUGUGAAAGAAAAGAGCAUGUCAAUGCUAACUAGUCAAGUUUCUCAUGCAUUUAUUAAGUUGUUAGCAUUCUAGACAGAGCCUCAAUUUAAAUUAUUUUUACAUGCAUGAACAUGGUAGAAAUUGAUGCAUCAUGAGAAAUUGGUGCAAAAACAUAUAAAUAACGUUGCAAAACGAGUUACAGAACUCUCGGUAAUCACAAACCACGAAAUGGAAGGCAACAGAGACAAACCAACAAUAUGCCAGAGGCUAUGGGCAUUUACUUGGCAUUCCAAGGAUUCCACUGGACUGGGAACAAAAUUCUAGGUGGAAUAGACCUAAAAAUUAUGCAAAUCCAUUAGGCACAACUCACGCAGUGCCCAAAACAAAACUACAACCAAUCUGUCCAUUAACAACAACAUACCACUUUGAUCAACAGAAAACUAGUAGCUGUAGCCACUCAAUAGGAUCAACCAAGCCAUGAACAUGGAGCUACCAAACAUUACAACAACACUUUACUAACAGAAACAUAGAUAGGUGCAUGAACCAAUGGUAACCAAGCUCUAAACAUGGGAAAAAUUAUCACAGUUUAGGACUUUGUGAAAAUCAUAGUUUGCACUAGCAGUUUAUAAUCUGGUAGGAUGUUGACAACAACAAAACACUAUGCUACAUCUAGUUUCAUGGCAUGAAAUUUAACAAGAUGAUAGAGGGCAACAUAUACUACAAAUCACUAGCACUGAGCAUGAGCUAAAACUCCACAGAUCACUUGGUAGCAUCAAUUUAACAUGGCAUGAAAACACUAUAGAUUCUCAAACUUAGUCAAAAUCACAAUGGAACCUAGCAACAAUUUAUAUCAGCAUAACAACUUUGACAGUGAAUAAAUCUAUGCCUCAAGUCCCUAUUGGCAGAGUUGUAGCACGAAAUUGUAGAGGAUAUCAAUCACAACAAAUCAUGGCAUUUCAACAAACACAAAUGAGCAACAUAUCCCUGGGAACCAUCAUCACAACAUGAGAAGAAAAAUAACAGACUCCAACAUUUAGAAUUAUUUAGCACGUGAAUCUGCAAUAUUUUCUUAGCUACUUUGCAACAAGAAAUCCACUCAUCUACAAGACUAACAUAGCAAACAAAAAUACCAUGGCUUAGUGCCCAAAAGACACUAACACUUUCAUGUUGACACUUUCACCAAAGCAUGCAUGGAUUAAAUACUACAAAAAACACAAAAUGCCACAACAUCACAAAAUAGCACUUUUGCAAACUUGCCCAAAAGACAAACUAUAUCACCAUUGGAUUCACUGGAUUUGUCUACCCCAAAAGCAUAUAUCACACUCAUAUAUUUCUAUGGAGAAAUUUCCCACAAAAUUGAAAAGAAAAAUAACAUGCAAUUCCAAUCCAUUCAUAAGUCAGUAAUUUCCCUUUUGGGCCACUGCCAAAUCUGACAGGUGCAGAUGUGGACAUUACCAAUUCUGAUAAGUUUUAAAACAGCAAAAAAACACCAAACAAUUAGACAGGCAGGGAGGUCCAUUGGCAGUGACACCAGGCUCCCCAUAGGAUGACAUGUGGGCCCAUGGCCCACUAUCAAAGCCACCACACACUACAAAUACAUCACAAAAAGCCACAACAUCACAAAAUAGCACCGUGGCAAACUUUCCCAAAAGACAGAAACGAUACCACCAAUGGAUUCGCUGGAUUUGUCUACCCCAAAAACAUAUAUCACUCUCAUAUAUUCCUAUGGAGAAAAUUCCCACAAAACCGAAAAGAAAAAUAACAUGCAAUUCCAGUCCAUUCACAAGUCAGAAAUUCCCCGUUUCGGCCACUGCCAAAUCUAGCACGUCCAGAUCUGGACAUUUCCAAUUCUGGUUUGUUUUAAAACAACAAAAAAACACCACACAAUUAAAUAGGCAGGGGGUCCACUGGUAGUGACACCAGGCUCCCCUUAGGAUGACAUGUGAACCCAAGGCGCACUGUCAAAGCCACCACAUACUGCAGAUAAAUCAAAAGGCCGCGCGCACGUCCAGAUCUGGACAUUUUCAAUUCUGGUAUGUUUUAAAACAGCAAAAAUACACCACACAAUUAAAUAGGCAGGGUCCACUGGUAGUGACACCAGGCUCCCCUUAGGAUGACAUGUGAACUCAAGGCGCACUGUCAAAGCCACCACAUACUGCAGAUAAAUCAAAAGAAAUAGGCCGCGCGGAGGGUGGGGGUGGAACCCGCAACCUCCUGUACACACACGCGCACACUUGACCACCGGAUUACUGCUCUGAAUCUUCUCAUCUACGGGUGCUAGCCUAUCUACUCCCUCCGUUCCUAAAUAUAAGUCCUUGUAAAGAUUUCACUAGUGGACUACGUACGGAUGUAUAUAGACAUAUUUUAGAGUAUAUAUUCAAUCAUUUUGCUCCGUAUGUAGACCCUUAGUGAAAUCGCUUAAAAGACUUAUAUUUAGGAACGGAAGGAGUAUUUAGCAAAAGGUGCAACCUUUCCCUGACGCAAGAGAGGCGCGGCGGCAACAUCGACUCCACGGCGACGACGGUACGGCGAUGCAAGGUUCGCGAGGCGAGGCGGCUGCGAAUGCGGGCGUGCUACUGCUCCUGCUACACACGCACUAUUGCCGCUACUACACACGCGCGCUACUCCACUGCUGCGUGUGGCCCUGCUACUUGAGUCGAUCGGUGACGGGGCGAUGUAACACGACGAGGUAGGCGCGGGGCUAGGCUACAACGCAUGCAGAGAGAGAGAGAGAGGGAAGGGCUCACAGCGGAACGACAAGGAGGUGCGCGGCGCAGUGUGGCCGAAGCGGCGACGACGUGGCGACGCGGCUGCAACUCCUCCCGAGACGACGACGAUGUUGACGAGGAUGAGGCAGACGGCACGAUAGUCCCUUGGCGCAGACGACACCGGCGGUGAUGAAGAAGACGCCCAUGAUGAUGCACCCGAGCUGCUCCCACAACAGCUGGCUUCAUGGGGGAGAGGAGCUCGAGCUCCCUGUGGCCAUUGCGAUGACAACAGGAGAGACUAGCUACCAGCGGCGGGAGAGGGAGGACAAGAGGCAAAUGGAGCGGGA